AAAAAUGGGGAAACAUAAGCAGGUGGUUGUGUUCGGACUUUUUGUUUAGACUUUGAAGAGAAUAAGAAAAAAGAAUCUCAGUCACGGUCUUCACGGAUUCAUAGUCAGAUGAUAUAAAAAAAAAAAAUCAAAGUUCCAGACGAGUUUAGAUUUUGAGAUACAGUAGGCUACGUACGGAUCAGGGAACAGUGGAGAAGAACAAAAUAGCCCUACACAGAUUGAAACGAGGGACAAAAAUGGUUGCUGCUUCCCUGUGAGCCUUCAAAAGUCUCGUAAGGAUAGCUUCAAGUUGAAAAAAGAGUUCCCCAGAAGGUUCACCUAAAGCUUCUCCUAAUGGUUCAUUUAAAACGCCUGUUGUUGAUAAAAAUAAAGGGUGCCAGGAGAAAAAACAGCUGGUCGUUUGUUUUGGGGGGAUGUUGAUUGAUUUUGUGCCAAAUGUUGGUGGAGUUUCACUAUCAGAAGCACCUUCUUUUAAGAAAGCUCCCGGUGGAGCUCCUGCCAAUGUUGCUGUUGGGAUUGCUAGACUAGGAGGCUUUGCUGCUUUUAUUGGCAAGGUGCAAUGUUGCAUGUGUGCAACUACAAGGCACAAUUUAAGACUUAUGAGGAGUCUUCCAUAUUUGUGCCUUAUGAGGAGUCUUCCAUGGAACUAGAGGUGUUUGUGGACAUCCACAGUAAGGCAAAACUUCAUGGAAAGUGCAUUGUUGAAGUGAACUUGAGUUUUGGUAGGUCAUAGGUGAAGAUGAGUUUGGUUACAUGUUGGGCCGAUAUUCUUGUAGAAAAUAAUGUUGUCAAUUCUGGAAUGCCUUUUGAUCCACAUGCAAGGACAGCAUUGGCAUUUGUUACACUGAGAGAUGAUGGCGAGCGUGAAUUCAUGUUUUAUUGCAACCCUAGUGCUGAUAUGCUUCUUCAUGAAGAUGAAAUUGAUGCAAACCUAAUUAAGAAGGCAAACAUAUUACAUUAUGGAUCGAUUAGUUUGAUUGAGGAACCUUGUAGAUCUGCUCAUCUUGCUGCCGUGGACAUUGCUAAGAAGUCUGGUUGUCUCCUAUCUUAUGACCCAAAUUUGAGGUUGCCACUUUGGCCAUCUGCAGAGGCUGCUAGAGAUGGUAUUAUGAGCAUAUGGAACCAAUCCGACAUUACUAAGUGAGGAGGAAAUCACAUUCUUGAUGAUCCUUAUGAUGAUGAUGAUAUUGUGCUGAAGAAGCUUUUCCACCCUAAUCUUAAGCUACUGAAGGAGCACAAGGCUGCAGAUGCUAUACAAAAGAAUUCAAGGGCAGGGUUGGUGGUGUUAAGGUUGAAGCUGUUGACACAACUGGUGCAGGUGACGCUUUUAUAGGUGGAAUCUUGAACAUUUUGGCUUCAUAUCCAAAUCUUUAUAAGAUUUUGCGAUACAGUAGGCUACGAAUCAGGGAACAGUGGAGAAGGACAAACUAAACCAACAGUACAAAGAUUGAAACGAGGGACAAA